AUGGCUUCAUGAAGAAUUUUGCCAUGCUACAACUUAGACAAAAUUUUCUCAAUGUCUUAAAGCUCAGCCCUUAUUGUCUCCUAUUACUGGACCAUGUCUUCAGGAAGAGUUUUACUAUGCUACAAUGUUUGUUUUUUUCCCCCCCAAAGCUUCACAUCAUGAAAGAUACUGUAGAAUCCAAGUUCUGCUGUAGAACUACCUACAUCCAAAUGAGUCACUUAAAGAAUUGUAAAACUUUUUGUGGUCUACCUGUGAAAUUACCAAAAAAUAUUUUUGCACACUGCUAUUUUAUGUAUACUGUACAUAAGAAGGGUUGCCUGCAGUUUACUAAACGAAAAUAUUGAAUCACAUUAACUAGUUUACUGACUUAUCAAACCAAAUAUUAAAAAUGUAAUUCAGUAAAGAGGUUGUGUAACAUGAAGAUCAUUGAUGCAAUUUCCAUUAUUGUUCAAGAACAUGGUACAUUUAAUCACACAAAGAAUAACGUUACAGAAAAGAUACCUGGAAUUCUGAUAUAUGCU